CUUUCUGGAAAUUAAGGUUCUGUUUCAUUUAAAAAUCUGUUUACAAUAAAGAGGCCCACAGAAGCCUAGCCUCUCCUGUCUUGCACAUAGAGUUACCUACCUAGGACCACACCUGUGUUCUGUGAAAGGAAACGGCUGACAAGAAACUGCUUUGGCCUGUGAUCAUGUCUCUCAAGGACUGUACAGGGGAAACGUGGACCACCGUUUUCUCCGCAAAUCCAUUCACAUUGCCAGCACCUCAAAACUUGGUCAAAAUCCAGAUGGCUGUCAAUGAAGAAUGCUUCCUCCUGCCUCCCCGGGCAAAGUCUGACUUUGUGUGAUUCGUACCUCUUCGAGAUAUCUGCUUCUGUCACCAAAGGACAGCAGUGAUCUUUGUUUAGG
rnacentral:lncRNA from 1 species